rnacentral:rRNA from 1 species
AUUGAACGAUGGCGGGAUGCCUUACACAUGCAAGUCGAGCGGAGCGGCGAACGGGUGAGUAAUUCAUAGGAAACUGCCCGGUAGCGGGGGAUAACGAUCGGAAACGGGCGAUAAUACCGCAUACUAUCAGAUGAGCCUAGGUCGGAUUAGCUAGUUGGUGAGGUAACGGCUCACCAAGGCGACGAUCCGUAACUGGUCUGAGAGGACGACCAGUCACACUGGGACUGCUACACGGCCCAGACUCCUACGGGAGGCCGAAGUGGGGAAUUUUGGACAAUGGGCGAAACCCUGAUCCAGCCAUGCCGCGUGUGCGAUGAAGGCCUUCGGCUUGUAAAGCACUUUUGGUUGGAAGGCGUUACCUACAGAAUAAGCACCGGCUAACUCCGUGCCAGCAGCCGCGGUAAUUC